AACGAACGCUGGCGGCAUGCCUAACACAUGCAAGUCGAACGAAGUCUUCGGACUUAGUGGCGCACGGGUGCGUAACGCGUGGGAAUCUGCCCUUGGGUACGGAAUAACUCAGAGAAAUUUGUGCUAAUACCGUAUAAUGUCUUCGGACCAAAGAUUUAUCGGCCAAGGAUGAGCCCGCGUAAGAUUAGCUAGUUGGUGGGGUAAAAGCCUACCAAGGCGACGAUCUUUAGCUGGUCUGAGAGGAUGAUCAGCCACACUGGGACUGAGACACGGCCCAGACUCCUACGGGAGGCAGCAGUGUGGAAUAUUGGACAAUGGACGAAAGCCUGAUCCAGCAAUGCCGCGUGAGUGAUGAAGGCCCUAGGGUUGUAAAGCUCUUUUGUGCGGGAAGAUAAUGACGGUACCGCAAGAAUAAGCCCCGGCUAACUUCGUGCCAGCCGCCGCGGUAAAAC
rnacentral:rRNA from 1 species